UGGGGAAUAUUGCACAAUGGGCGCAAGCCUGAUGCAGCCAUGCCGCGUGUGUGAAGAAGGCCUUCGGGUUGUAAAGCACUUUCAGCGAGGAGGAAGGUGGUGAGCUUAAUACGCUCAUCAAUUGACGUUACUCGCAGAAGAAGCACCGGCUAACUCCGUGCCAGCAGCCGCGGUAAUACGGAGGGUGCAAGCGUUAAUCGGAAUUACUGGGCGUAAAGCGCACGCAGGCGGUUUGUUAAGUCAGAUGUGAAAUCCCCGGGCUCAACCUGGGAACUGCAUUUGAAACUGGCAAGCUAGAGUCUCGUAGAGGGGGGUAGAAUUCCAGGUGUAGCGGUGAAAUGCGUAGAGAUCUGGAGGAAUACCGGUGGCGAAGGCGGCCCCCUGGACGAAGACUGACGCUCAGGUGCGAAAGCGUGGGGCAGCAAACAGGAUUAGAUACCCUGGUAGUCCACGCUGUAAAACGAUGUCGAUUUGGAGGUUGUGCCCCUUGAGGCGUGGCUUCCGGAGCUAACGCGUUAAAUCGACCGCCUGGGGAGUACGGCCGCAAGGUUAAAACUCAAAUGAAUUG
rnacentral:rRNA from 1 species